rnacentral:rRNA from 1 species
UGAUGGAGGGGGAUAACUACUGGAAACGGUAGCUAAUACCGCAUGACCUCGCAAGAGCAAAGUGGGGGACUUUCGGGCCUCACGCCAUCGGAUGUGCCCAGAUGGGAUUAGCUAGUAGGUGGGGUAAUGGCUCACCUAGGCGACGAUCCCUAGCUGGUCUGAGAGGAUGACCAGCCACACUGGAACUGAGACACGGUCCAGACUCCUACGGGAGGCAGCAGUGGGGAAUAUUGCACAAUGGGCGCAAGCCUGAUGCAGCCAUGCCGCGUGUGUGAAGAAGGCCUUAGGGUUGUAAAGCACUUUCAGCGAGGAGGAAGGGUUCAGUGUUAAUAGCACUGUGCAUUGACGUUACUCGCAGAAGAGGCACCGGCUAACUCCGUGCCAGCAGCCGCGGUAAUACGGAGGGUGCAAGCGCUAAUCGGAAUUACUGGGCGUAAAGCGCACGCAGGCGGUUUGUUAAGUCAGAUGUGAAAUCCCCGAGCUUAACUUGGGAACUGCAUUUGAAACUGGCAAGCUAGAGUCUUGUAGAGGGGGGUAAAAUUCCAGGUGUAGCGGUGAAAUGCGUAGAGAUCUGGAGGAAUACCGGUGGCGAAGGCGGCCCCCUGGACAAAGACUGACGCUCAGGUGCGAAAGCGUGAGGAGCAAACAGGAUUAGAUACCCUGGUAGUCCACGCUGUAAACGAUGUCGACUUGGAGGUUGUGCCCUUGAGGCGUGGCUUCCGGAGCUAACGCGUAAGUCGACC